UAAGAGAUGGGGCAGUGUCUAAGGAACCUCAGUGGACUCAACCAGGAAAGCUGCGAAGAAGCCUCAGCUGCAGUCCAUCUCCACCCGAAAUCAGAGCCAGAGGAAAUGGAUGGGAGUGGAGCCCGAAUUUACUCACAAAGUUGAAUUUCCUGCCAUUAAACCUUAUGAUGAGCAAGAAAAAAGUGGUUUGAUUAUAAUCUCCUUAAGGAACGAGUGAAGCUUCCCCACAGCGUGAUGGAGAGGAAAGAGAUGGAGUCUCACCAUAUCAUCCAGGCUCGUCUUGAACUCCUGGCCUCAAGUAAUCCUCCUGCCUUCAAGCAAUCCUCCUGCCUCAGCCUCCGAAAGUGCUGGGAUUACAGGGCAGCCCAGGGUUCCGCACACGGCGGCUCCGGGAUUCCAGCGCAGGAGAGGGCAAGCCUGGUGGACCUGAGCUUUCCAAGCCUCUCCUUCUUCACAUUUGUUACUGCCCAGCGGACCAAAACAAGCCACAUGGCCACAUCCAAAGUCAAGGAGUCAAAUAAAACCCCCUACCUCCUGCUGGGAGAAGCUGCCAGUGCCAUUGUUACUUUUCUCAAUCUACUGUGCCACUCUAAGCUUAUAAAGAUGUUUCUUCUAGCCAGGUGCAGUGGCUCAUGCCUGUAAUCCCAACACUUUGGGAGGCUGAGGUGGGAGAAUCGCUUGACAUCAGGAGUUCAAGACCACUCUGGGCAUCGUAGUGAGGCCCUGUCUCUAAAAAAAGCAAUUAACUGGGCAUGAUGGCUCAUGCCUGCAGUCCCAGCUACUGGGGAGGCUGUGGCAGAAGGAUUACUGGAGCCCAGGAGGUCAAGGCUGCAGUGAGCUAUGAUCACACCACUGCAUUCCACCCUGGGCAACACAGCAAGACUCUGCCUUUAGAAAAAA